AGCAGACAUUGUGUAUUUACUCUGCAGUGCCAGAGUGCAGAGAUAAAGGUGGGCAACUGAAUCAAACAGGAUCUUUUUGGGGCACCUGAAUGCAAGAAUGGGGACACCUGGUGAUUCACCUGGCUCAGAAUCCUCUCCGUCAGCAGUGGCCAGGGAUGGGAGCCUGAGGAGAGACAAGAACCAGG